rfam:Ictidomys tridecemlineatus contig084029, whole genome shotgun sequence.
GGGGAUAUGGCUCAGUUAGUAGAGUGUUUGUCUCACAUGUACAAGGCCCUGGGUUCAAUCCCUAGCAACACUA